rnacentral:tRNA from 1 species
GCGGACGUGGUGGAAUGGUAGACACACCAGACUUAGGAUCUGGUGCCGUGAGGUUUGUGGGUUCGAGUCCCUCCGUCCGCACCA